CUGUUGUGGGUAAUGCGGGUGGAAGAAAGUGCUGGUCAUUCACUCCCCCAACCUACAUUUCCUGCCGGUGCUGAGACUCAAACCCGCAACUUUCAGGCUACAAGCCUGACUCUCUAACCAUUAGGCCACGACUACCCAUAAACCUAAUUGUGUUUCAACUGGACACUGGCAGUAAUUUCCAUGUAAACUCAAAUGCUUUGAUUUGUUGAUUCAGAUGCAUUUAAUUAAGUCAGGGUGUCCAAUCCUGCUCCUGGAGGGUGUGUGUGUGUAAAAUAUUUAUUGUGGUAAUAAUCCAAAAUAAUAUUUAUUUAGAGUGAGCUUAUGCACUGGUCACCUUGGCAAGGAAUCCGUGCAAUGCACAAACGGGUUCGUGAUGUCAGAGGAAUCCAGCCUUGCUACAGGAAUGAGGUGGCUCUAAUAAUGAGAGAACUUGAUGCCAGUGGUCUUAGAAGAUGUCCUGUGAAAAAAAGAAUUGAACGUAGAAAUUACUUCAGCUGUGGAUCAAAUUACACUUGGCAUAUUGAUGGAAAAUUAUUUGGCUUAAGGCUGGCACCUCUAACCGACAGCAAACCUUCAUUGCAAGGUACUUUUUUGAUGCCAUUCAGGAACAC